UUGUUGACAAGAUAAAUGUUGACAUUAUCUUUAUAUAGAAAUAGAUAAUCAGUACAUAUUAUUUUCCUAUUUUAGUUCCUAUAUUGUAGCUGAUUUUCCUGUAAUGUAGUUCCCAUUCCUAACUCAUAGGAAUGCCUUGGCUGUACAAAUACAUGACCUAAGGUCUGUAUUCAUUCACUCAAUCAAUAUACAUUGUUCUUCCAUCUUUUCAUGGUAUCAGAGCAUAUUCAAAGAUCCUAACUUUCCUUGAUCCACCGUUUCCC
rnacentral:lncRNA from 1 species